rnacentral:lncRNA from 1 species
UUCCCAUAUCACUAUACAACGAUUUUCAAGUUUUCAUACAACAUUUUGGAAGCAAACUUUACAAAUAACUGACAUUGGCGAUUUUGUAAAAUGUCUAAUUUCAAACGUUUUGAUUGGUCUAACUGUAUGCUAUUUUACAAUACCAAAGAUUUCCUCCCGCCCAGACCAUUGGUGUCAAAAAGUAUUUUUAGCCAAAAAAGUCAUAUAAGACAUUUUGGAAGCCCAGCGACGUUAU